GUGGCGGAAUUGGUAGACGCGCUCGACUCAAAAUCGAGUUCUGCAAAGAGUGUGGGUUCGAGUCCCAAACACCCCGC
rnacentral:tRNA from 1 species